ACUGACAGCCAUGGUUACCGCGGCUGCUGGCACGGAGUUAGCCGGUGCUUCUUCUGUGAGUGAUGUCCUUCCUGCCGGCUAUUAACCCGCAGGCCUUCUUCCUCACUGAAAGUGCUUUAACAACCCGAAGGCCUUCUUCACACACGCGGCAUGGCUGGAUCAGGGUUGCCCCAUUGUCCAAUAUUCCCACUGCUGCCUCCCGUAGGAGUCUGGGCCGUGUCUCAGUCCCCAGUGUGGCUGAUCAUCCUCUCAGACCAGCUACGGAUCGUCGCCUUGGUGAGCCGUUACCUCACCAACCAGCUAAUCCGACAUAGGCUCAUCCGAUAGCGCGAGGCCCGAAGGUCCCCCGCUUUCCCCCGUAGGGCGUAUGCGGUAUUAGCCUGGGUUUCCCCAGGUUAUCCCCCACUACCGGGCAGAUUCCUAUGCAUUACUCACCCGUCCGCCGCUCGCCACCAGGGAGCCAAGCUCCCCGGUGCUGCCGCUCGACUUGCAUGUGUUAGGCCUGCCGCCAGCGUUCAAUC
rnacentral:rRNA from 1 species